CUUAAUCAAUUUAAAUCCCAAUCUGAUUGAACCAAAUUGGAUUUAGAUCACACCCAACCCGAGCUAACCAAAAUCCAUUUAAUUUCUUUAAAUCAGAUUAGAUUGGUUCACCUCGGCCACGGCGCCUGCAGCCGUGCCUGCGGCGCCGAUGCUCGCGGCCAAAGCCGGCGGCCGCCACACGCGACGACAAACCGGUGAGUCCUUUCUCCUCUUCUUCUUCUUUCUUUCUUUCUUUCUUUAUUUCUUCUCUUCUUCUUCUUUUCUUUCUUUCUUUCUUUCCUUCUUUCUUCUCUUCUUCUUCUUUUCUUUCAUUCUUUCUUUCUUUCCUUUUUUUCUUCUCUCCCCCGCCUGCCCCAUCCCUAUGAAGGCCCACGUUGGGUUGGGCCGGCCUCUGAGAAAGGGCAGCCCAACACACAAAAAAA
rnacentral:lncRNA from 1 species